CUUUCAUAUAAAGUGCACCUACACUUAUAUAUAAUUUUGUUCAGUAGAAAUCAGGCUUUUAUUUCACAUCAAAUAUUCAUAUAUGAGGCAAUAUCAAUACAAUCAAAAAAAAAAAAAAAAGAUUGAGAAAUUAAGAAACUAUUUUGUUUAGUUCUGCAUGGCAUUUUAACUGAAUGUUAUUGUCAGUUUUUAAUAAAAUACACAUUUGUAUUCUGCCAUGUCUCACGAGUACAAGAGUAACCCCCCAUGUACAAGUUUUAUGGUGUUUUGUAAAGUUACAGGGUCAAAUGCAGCAAUAUGGCACAUUACUUUUUUAGUUUAUACACAUUUAAAGGACCACACUAGUGCCAGGAAAACACUUGUUUCCUGGUACUAUAGUGCCGACCCCCUCCCGCCCAGCUCUGGAAGGGGGGGGGGAAAAAACCCCCCAAAACUUACCUUUUUCCAGCGCUGCGCGCGCAUUCAGCCAGUCGCAUAGGAAAGCAUUAUCAAUGCUUUCCUAUGGACGCUGGCGUGCUCUCAGUGUGA